CUCUCGUUAAUUAUAGCCCCGCCCACCGUCAGGCCCCGCCUUCUCGGGACCGAAGUCUCCGCCGCACCGGACACGGGACUCUCCGAGGUCGCUCACUGCCGGUGGGUGUGAUCAAGGCCAGGAUGCCGUUGGAGCCGGCCCUGGUGCUCUCUCCUUCCCUGCCCCCGGUUUCCAGUCGUCAAGAUCGCGGGUUCUCUGGAGUGCGCUCGGAGUCAGUUGUCAGGAGUCCCGCGGACGGCGUCCAGAAGUGGGCCUUUGGCGCCACCUGUCUUCGGUGCUUGCAGCCACCAGGAAAGCACAGCACUGCUCAAUGAACAAUUGCUUCACUCGUUAAGUAUUUGUGUAACUCUAACAUCUGCCGACUCCCCCCAGCAGAACAGCAGAUCUGCUCUCAUCGUAUUUGGAAGACCCUGGCCCUCAAGCUGAGUGGUCUUUGUGUCUUUAUAGCAGCUUGGGGUCCUUCCUCUUGAAUCCCGUUUCCCAGGGACAAAAGCACAGCCUCUCACCUGGGGGCCAAGAAUUGUUAGAGAGCAGAGCCAGUGAAUAGUGACAGCCAUGUCUCUGGUCCGGAAAUGCCCGCCUCCCAAGGAACUUGCUUUUGGAGUCGCUUGCCGGUGGGGUGUGUGCACCACCUCUCAAAACUUGGAAUCCGACUGGACAUCAUCACCUUCAUUUCCUGUUCGGCAUUGAUUUUCACUGCAGUACUUGCUUUUUAUCAAGUACUGCCAAAAAUCCAGCUGUGCAAAGAGAUUAUGUCAUCGAAAGGAAUGUAGUGCAAUCCGAUGUUGAAACCGUGAACGGCCUCAAGCUAGCAGCUUGCCAGUUGUCUGACAGAUGUCCAGUGUCUCUGUCUUUCCCUCAAAGUUCUAUCUUUCAUGGCACCCCAUGAGUUUGCUGCAGUGCCUGGGCCCUACAUCAAAGAAAGGAUCUUGUUAGAUGCCAGGAUUCUGACUGAGGAUGCGAACAAGGACAGGGAAGAAGAAACAGCAGCCAAAAAGAAGAAAAAUACACCUGUCUAUUCCCGGCAACCACGAGAUACAGAAAACUAGCCAGCUUUGAUCUCAGCUGACAUUCUGGGCAGGAUCUCCCCCUUGGAGCAGUUUCGCAUCCUCCGACAUUUGGUGCACGGUUAUCAAUGUGGCCACUGCUUUCCUUUGUUCCUGUCAGAUCUGACUUCCAGGAGCUUUAUACCUUCACCCAGCAAGGCAGCAACUUGCCUUUCCUGCCUCGACUAAGGGUCGGGUCCUUGUCCUUUCCAGCCACCUCAGCGAUGACUUCGCACUUAGGAACUCUGGAGGGCCAGAGCCCAGCGGGUGUGACCUAAGAGGGAAGAUGACGGUCACAGAAACUACAGCAGCCUGCCACCUGGGGAGGUUCUGGGGCUCCAGUCGUCCUGAGUCUGGACCCACAGAGGAGGCACAAACCCUCAUGGGUUUGUUCUGGAUCAGGAAGGCAGCCUACACUUCCCUGGGUGCCCUUCUCGGGGCUGUUAGCCAAGGAAGAUAAAGCUCCACUUCUGGGGAGGCUGGGCGAGGCAAAUCUCCUUUGGCAGCUUUGGGCCACAGGAUGACGUGAAAUGGGCCACCAGCCCAUUCUUGGGACCUUGGGACCUCAGUCACCCUGGAAGUGUAGGUAACAGCUGAAGGAUCAUUCACUUAAUACAUAUUCACUGGACAUCAAUUGUGUGCUAGGCACUGUGCUGGCUGCUGGUGUGUGUGAUUGUGUGUGUGUGUGUGUGUGUGUGUGUAAUAUGGAGUGCCUAUUUAUAAUUAAUAAAAACAGUAUGAAUGAGGAUGACAGCUAAAUUUAUUGAGCGUUUUUUAUGUCGUAAACCCUUUUUCUAAGCAUGGCGGCAUAUUGUGCUUUUUUUUAGUAUUGUAGUGAUUUUAUUUACGUAUUUAUUGAAGUAUGGUUGAUUUAUAAUGUUGUGUUGGUGUUUGUGUUGUUGCUGUUUUAGUCACUAAGUUGUGUCCAACUCUUUCGCCACCCCGUGGACUGUAGCCUGACAGGUUCCUCUGUCCACUGGAUUUCCCAGGCAACAAUACUCGAGUGGGUUAUCAUUUCUUUCUCCAGGGGCUCUUCCCUACCCAGGGAUUGAACCCAUAUCUCCUGCACUAGAAGGCAGAUUCUUUACCGCUGAACCACUAGGUGCUGGUGUCAUAUUAUCUUAUUUAAUUCUGGUGAUAAGCCUUGGAAGUCAGCAGAUUCUAUUAUUAUCUACUGUUUUGCAGCUGAGACAGGAUAAGUAACUUGCUGAGGGCCACUCGGCCCACUGGCGAAAUUAGAGCUCCAUCAGAUUGAGAGGUCUACACCUGUGACCAUUUG
ensembl:lncRNA